GUGGGGAAUAUUGGACAAUGGGCGAAAGCCUGAUCCAGCCAUGCCGCGUGUGUGAAGAAGGUCUUCGGAUUGUAAAGCACUUUAAGUUGGGAGGAAGGGCAGUAAGUUAAUACCUUGCUGUUUUGACGUUACCGACAGAAUAAGCACCGGCUAACUUCGUGCCAGCAGCCGCGGUAAUACGAAGGGUGCAAGCGUUAAUCGGAAUUACUGGGCGUAAAGCGCGCGUAGGUGGUUUUGUAAGUUGGAGGUGAAAUCCCCGGGCUCAACCUGGGAACUGCCUCAAAAACUGCAUGACUAGAGUACGGUAGAGGGUAGUGGAAUUUCCUGUGUAGCGGUGAAAUGCGUAGAUAUAGGAAGGAACACCAGUGGCGAAGGCGACUACCUGGACUGAUACUGACACUGAGGUGCGAAAGCGUGGGGAGCAAACAGGAUUAGAAACCCUUGUAGUCC
rnacentral:rRNA from 1 species